rnacentral:lncRNA from 1 species
UUGGAGUACAAGUUAUUUUUACUUCCAAUAGUGUUAACAUACUACACAGGUCAUGAACAAGAUUUUUUUUAAUUUUUAUUGUAAGUGGGCUAAAGCAGUUAAUUAAAAGUAGUCUAACAUAAAUGUAAAUGCUGUAAUUUGAUUAUUUUAAUAAACCAUGUAACUUGGAUGGAUUCCACACUGGUGUGACCACAGUGCAUACGUCUGCUGUCGCUCACAGUGGUCCAAGGGACCGCUCAGGGAGUUUGUGUGUUCGCUCAGACACAUGAAAAAUUAGAGGGAACAUUGCUCAUGGCCCAUGAUCAGUGGGCUUUGAUCAGUGGUUGUUGACCAAUGGUCAUGAGAAUUUGCAUAAUCAUGAUGAAGGAACUGACCUCCCAGCCUAUUGUUCCUUCAGUGGGCUGGUUUCAGUCAUUAUGCAAAUGUACUGUUUAUAAGAUUGGGGAAACCUGCAGUCAGCUGAGACUGAAGAAGUCACUUGGAUGAGUGACGAAACGUUUCUCCCACUGAAAACGCUUCGUCCAGAUGAACAGAAUCAACUUUUGGAGAGUUAGCAAAUUUAGCAUAUUUAAAUUUAAAAACUGAAAUCCUCUUCCUCGCUGUGUGUAUGCUUAAAGGCUUAUACACGGGGAACAGGGAGACAGACGUGAGGCACAUUCAAAACGUCUCGUGAUUAACCGUGGACAUGGCUUCCAUGUAAAACAUGGCUUCCUUGUAAAUAUGUUAUGGUUCCCGUAAACCUAUGUAAUACAUCAGAAGAGCCGUUUUGUCGGCCAUCCAAACGUUCAGUACACCCUCAGCAGCUGCAGUCUCCACUUCACAAUCGCCGCAGCACUUGGAAUCCAGCAAUGCACCUGGACCAACAACACCUGCCGUCUCCACUGGGAUAUCAUACCGCUUGGUGGAACCAGAGGCGCUUUCUGAUCGUGACUUUGAAAGUCCAGUCUGCCGGAGAAGACCAGGUAUGUCUGAAAAAUUAAACUGGCGAGUACGCUGAAUGAAAACUUAUUGAGGUUGUAAGCUCAAUGAUCAGUUAGCCUUUGUGACUGCUGAGUAUGAACAUAAUUCCUGGGGGGUUUGUUUGUUCAUUUGUUUGACGAGGGCAUCAUUACCGGUCUCGAGACGAAGCGGGGUCUCUACUCUACUGUACACAAGUUAGGGUCACACCCUAAUAAGUAUCGGCAAGUGGUGGCGGAGUCCACUACAAGUUUCUCCGCAGGAAUAAAACAAUG